ACAAUAUCCACCCCUCGAGAUAAUAUCAGGUCUUUCCAGAUCUGUCACUUAGAUUUUUUUCAUUUACCAAAACAAGCUGUAUUUUAAAAGGUCCGUGACGUAAAAGACUUUGAAGUGGAAAUAUAUACCAUGAUAUCAUUCUAUACCUGACAUAAAAAGUUUUGGACGCACGCCAUGGUACUUGAGUUGCUUUUUUAAGCUUCAUCACGAUAUCUUAUAAAUUGACAGGAGAUUAAAGGGCAUUAGUAAGAACAACAUAUAUGGUAGGCAGCAUCGAUGAAGACAGGAAAUCGGACUUCUGAACGUUCAAGGACUCGUACCAUGAAGACGGAAUUUCUAGUGUGGAGAUACACUUCUUGUUUUUCUCUUUUUGUUUUAGUUUUCGUCGGAUGUACGACGCAAGUUUUGUCCGAAAAUGUUGGAUCCCUUGGAAAAAUUAACCCCAGAGGAAAUCACUGGGCAGUAGGUCAUCUCAUGGGGAAAAAAAGCACAGAUGGCAGAUUUGGCUCAGAGGACGGUGGAAUGUCUAAUAAUCAAUACCCGCAGUCUGCAGAAAAAGAUAAGAGGCCGACGGGAAACCUGCAACCAUCCCAGGCUCUUACAGCUGUCUUCCGGGCCCUACUGGCACUGGAGAAACCAAAUGAGAUUCCGCCACCUUGGGCGAUGAUUUUGGAAAAAAGACUCAAUGAGAGAAUGAGCAGGAUAGGAACCUGAAAGAGGUGGCGCAAAUCUUGUUGCAGACUUUGACAAUGAAGGACAACAGCGACCCUUGAGGACAUCUGUCUGAUUAACAUGUUUCAAACGUUGUUGAAGCAUUUCUCUCGGAGUAAUACGUAAUAGUUGUACAUUUGGAUGGAAUAUGCUUUAUAUUUGUAGGUAUUUGUGUGACGUUUAAUAUAUUUAUGUAAUGUUUGAGUAAAAUUUAUUGUAAAAGCUUUACCAGAUUUAUAUAAUGAAAUUAUCUUCUGAAAAUUGUUUUCCGUGUUUUGUAACUUAUUCGGUAUUGUGUUCCACUGUCAUUUUAAUGUUUCAUAACACAAUUGUGUUGAACAUUCAAUAAAACAAAAACUUUU